AAUGUAAAUAAGACAUUGAUUUAUGUCCCUAAUAUAGUUUUAAAAUGCUGACUUUAAGAAGUUAAAUUUAUUCUAGAAUAUUAUGUAGUUCCUAAAUCAAUAUAUUUGAGUCUUUUAGGAAAAAGUUAAGUAUGGAUCUUAUAUUAGUUUACCAUUAAUACUAUUUCUGUAACAAAGUUAGAAGCUCAAACCACCACCAAUUUAUUACCUUACAGUUCUGUAGUCAGAAGUCCAACAUGGUUCUCAAUGGCCUAAAAUCAAGGUGUCCACAGGAUUGUGUUCCUUUCUAGAGAGGUAAGGGAAGAAUCUGAUUUUUUUUUUUUUUUUGCUUAUUCAGGUUGUUGGACAAAUUGAGUCCCUUGCUCUUGUAGCUGUUCUCCCUGUUUCUUUGCUGGCUGUCAGCUAAGAGCUGUUUUCAGCUUCUAGAGGCCACUCACAUUUCCUUGGUUAUGGCCCUCUUCGUCUCCAAAGCCAGCAAUGGUGGAUUGAGACCCUUUCAUCCUUGUAAAUCUUUCUUUCUUCUUCUUCCAUUGCUGUAUCUCUCCAAUUACAGCCUUUUAAGAAUCCAUUGGUUAGACAGAAUCUCCCCCGCUCAAGGUUCAUAACUUUUAUUUACAUCUGCAAAGUUGCUUUUGCGGUAAUAAUGUAACAUAUUCACAGCUUACAGGGAUUGGGGAAUGGAUAUAUUUAGGAGCCAUUAUUCUACCUAUCUCAGAUCUCAAUUGGGGCCAUGCAGUAUAUCCAGUGUUUCAUACCACUAUUCUCAAUACUUUAUGUUAGAAUAAUAAUAUUGAUAAUAGGUAAAUUUUGUUGGUUAUAUAAUAUGCUCAAGGUACUUUUCUGAGCCCUUUUACUAAAUUCACUCAUUUAAUCCUCAGAACUACCCUAGGAGGCAAACACUGUUAUUGUUCCCACUCACAGAUGAGGAAACAGGUACUGAAAGCUGAAGUAACUUGUCGAAUUUCUCACAGCCAUUAAAUGGUGAAAUGGAGAUCUGAACCUAGGUAGUCUGGUUCCAGAGCCUGUGCAUGCUCUGAAGCUCAACAUAAUAAAAAUAAUUUCUACAUACCUGGAUUUAACUAAACAUGUGUUGAUGAUACAGUGGCUAUGAAUUCAGGUUCUGACAUCACCUUGUGGAUUCAAAUUCUACCUACCCAUUACUGAAUGACCCUGGGCAAGUUACUUGACCUCUCUGAGACUUAACAAUAAACUGAACCAAUAAUAAUAGUUGAGAAUUAAACAAAUACUAUAUGUAAGGUACUUAGAGCACUGCCUCUACAUACAGUCAUUCAUAACAAUAGAGAUACGUUUUGAGAAGUGCGUCAUUAGGCUAUUUUGUUGUGUGAACAUCGUAGAGUGUACUUACACAAACCUAGAUGAUGUAGUCUACUACAUACCUAGGCUACAUGGGAUAACCUUUUGCUCCUAGGCUACAAACCCGCACAGCGUGUUACUGUACUGAGUACUAUAGGUAGUUGUAACACAGUGGUAAGUAUUUGUGCAUCUAACCAUGUCUAAACAUAGAAAAAUUGCAGUAAAAAUACAGUAUUAUAAUCUUAGGGACCACUGUUGUGUAUGUGGGCCAUCAUUGACUGAAACAUCAUUAUGCAGUGCAAGCAAUUGCUAGCUGUAAUUAUUGAUGACAAUUCAACUUUUAAAAACAGUAUUUAUUAUAAAAAGAAAUGUUUCCUUUAGAGAUCAGUCUUUCCUUGUAAAAUAAAAACUGAAAAUUAAAAUUUUUACUUUAAUACACUACAGUGCUAUCUCCUUUCUCAGACUCUGAUUUCUCCUCACUCUAGGCUAGCAUCUAUCGUUCUAACCAUGGUACCUUCAGUGUUAUCUGAUCAUGCAUUCUAAAUACUUUGUCCAGAUCCUAGUAUCUGCAGGCUAAUAUUCAAACUCUCUAGAAGGGCACCAGGACUUUUCACACAUUCCAGAGACUCUCUCUUGCCAUUCCUCUGCUGGGUAUUUACACAGCCAUCAAUUCUAACUUUUCACUGCUCUCGUUUGCUAUUAUUAUUCUUUGAGGGAGACUUAUGUGUGUGGAGGGGACUCUGGGGAGUAUGGACAAUGUCAUAUCCUGGGUCCCCUUCCAUAAUGCCUGCUAAUACCACUCCAAAUUCACUCUCUCUUUUAAUAAUCUUUCCUGCACUUGCCUUAAUUCAAACCCUCAUUAUCCUUGCACUUUAAGCCAUCUCUUAACAAAUUGGUGGCCUCCAGCCUCACUGCCCUUCAGGCUUACUAUCCUUGCUUGCUGGAAUGAUCUCUAAACUACAAAACUCUAUAUGUUACUCUCCUUCUUCAAACCAUUCAGUGUCCCCUCUGCCAGGUCCUACAAAUAUUACUCUUUUUUCUGUGCCUCUUGGUACCAGUUACAUGCUUCUACCGUAACUUAAAAGGUGUCACACAGUUGUUUAUUUAAAUACAUAUCUUCCCUUCUAAAUCAGGAGCUCAUGGAUAAUAGAGCCAUAAGAGAUGGUUUUGCUUUAAUGAAUUUAUAUUAUUUCAUGAUAACAUAAAUUAUUGUAUUAUUGUAUCAUCUGUCUCUUGUCACUAAUCUGUGAACUCUUUAAGGGGAGACUAAUUGUUUUAUUCAUUUCUCUUUUUCCUCUAUGCCCGUGGCAUAGGAGGUACUUAGUAAUUGGUCAAUGAAUGAUUUGGGAAAAAUAAUCCAGAAUAUAUACAAUUUUUUAGUCUGCUUCAGUCUAAAUAAAUAUAUGAAACUAUGUAUUUGGAAUAUAUAUGAUUUCAUUAUGAUUAUUAUAUACAAUUCAAUUAUGAUUUUAGAAGAAGCAUAAUUCCUGUACUCUGGAGCCAGAGUGCCUGAGUUUGAAUUCUGGCUCUGCCACUUACAAGCUUGGGGAAGUUUUCUUGGGAAAGCUAAUCAAAAUUGUGUUUGUUGUUUGUCUGUAGAAGAAGAAUGAUAAUAGUAACUGUCUUUUAAGUUAAUAGAACUAAAUGAAUAAUAUUUAUAACGUAUCUAUGACUUUAGACUCUAUAAUAGUGUCUACCACCUAGUAAAUGUUCUACAAGUGCUUGUUAAAUAAAAACAUAAUAGUUUUUAUUCUCAUUGCUUUUGAUGAUAGGUAAUGGUCUUGAAAUACAAUGAUUUAGAAAAAAUCGUCCCGUACUUUCUAGUGGUGUUUUGAACUAGUUUUUUUACUCAAUGAUUUUUAAUAUUGUACAUUCUAGAAUGAUCAUAUAUAUUCCUUCAACAUUUAGAGAGUACCUGUGUGUGAUCUCUCUCAGGAAACACUUACAUAUUUUCUCUUUGUAUUAUUUUUCUGUUGCCAUUAUAACAAAUUACCACAAACUUAGUUGCUUAAAACAACGUAAAUUUAUUAUAUUAUUAUUCUAUAGAUCAGAUGUCUGACAAUAAUCUCACCAACCUAAGAUCAAGUUGACAGCAGGGUAGCACUCUUUACUGGAGACUGCAGGCUAGAAUCUGUUUUCUUGCCUUUUCCCAUUUUGGAGGCUGUCCACAUUCAUUGGCUCUUGGCCCCCUUCUUCUACCUUCAAAGCCUGCAAUGUUGCAUCUCUCUAAUCAUUCUGGCAUAAUCACAAGUGUUUCUCUGACCACAGCCAGGAAUGGUUCUCUGCUUUUAAAGGAUUCUUGUGAUAAAAUUGGACCCACCUGGAUAAACCAUGUCAGUCUUCCCAUUUCAAGAACCUUAACUUGAUUACAUGUGCAAAAUUCCUUUCCCUAUGUAAAGUAAUUUAUUCAUAAGUUCUAUGGAUUGGAGUAUGGACUUCUUUGGAGGACUGUUAUUCUGCCUACCACACUCUUGUACUGUAAAUGAGUCACUGUGGAAAGGUAAUAGGUUGUAGCUUCUGAAAAUAAAGAUAAAUGUUAGCUAGAUUGUUAACAGUAGUGUCAGUAUCAUUUAUGACUCUACUGGUUGUUGAGAGCGAAGUUGGCUUAGUAGAAUGCUUAGGUACUGCAGGGCUCACUGAUUAUGUCUUUGUCUCCUAGGAUUUUUAUUCUACUAGAGAGGGAAGAAUACAUUCAUAUUUGUUGCAUAUCUGCCGUGUCCUAGGUACUCUACAAUGAACUACAGAUACAUUAAUCCCAUUUAAUUUCCACAAUAACUUUAUGAGGUGUGGUAGGAGGCCUUCUAAGAUGACCCAAUGAUCUCCAUCACAUAGCACUCACCCCCUUGUAUAAUCUCCCUCCUUUGAAUGUAAGCUUAACCCAGUGACUCUACCAAUGAACAGAGUAGGACAAUAGUGAUAGUAUAUCAUUUCUGAGAUUGGAUUCCAGAAAACUAUGACUUGUCUCUCACUUACACUGUCUGUCUCUUGCCCUCUUAUUUGCUUGCUUUGAUGAAGCAAGCUGCAGUGUGGUAAACUGCCUUUGAAAGAGACCCACAUGUCAAGAAACUGAGCAUCACCUGUGACCAACAGCCAGAAAGUAACUGAAGCCCCAAGACGAACAGCUUGUGCAAAACUAAAUUCUGCCUACAACAAGAGCAUGAAUUGAGACGCAGAUCCUUCCCUAGUUGAUCCUUGAAAUGCUUGCAGCUCUAUGGACACCUUGAUUGCAGCCUUGUGAGAAAUUCUGAACUAGAGGACCUCGUAUGCCUUACCCAUAGGUCUUACAAGAUAAUACGUGUUUUUCAAAAAAGUAAGUUUGGGGAUAAUUUCUUAUGCAGCAAUAGAUAAUGAAUAAUAAAGUAAAUACAGUUUUUUGCUGUUGACUUCAAAAAUGUUUAAAGAUUUUACUGUUAUAUAAUUGUACAUAUUUAUGGGGUACAUGUGAUAUUUUGAUACAUGCAUACAAUGUGUAAUGAUCAAACUGGGGUAAUUUGAAUAUCCAUCACCUCAAAUGUUAUUUAGUGGUAUUGGGAACAUUCCAAAUCUUGUAGGUAUUUUGAAAUAUACAAAAAGUUAAUUUUAUAUAUAAAUAUAUGUCAUAUAUUAUUAAUAUAUUAAUAAUAUAUGCCAUAUAUAUAUAUGUAUGUAUAAAUGCCAUAUAUAUUAAUUACAUGUAUGGCAUGUUUUCUUUUAUACAUUUAUCCACUGAUAAACACUUAGGUUCCUUCCUUACCUUGGCUAUUGUGAAUAGUGCUGCAAUAAACAUGGGAGUGUAGAUAAUCUCUUUGAUGCACUAGUUUUCUUUCUUUUGGAUGUAUACCUAGCAGUGAGAAUGCAGGAUCAUAUGGUAGAUAUAUUUUUAGUUUUUUGAGGAACUUUCAUACUGUUUUUUACAGUGGCUGUGCUUAUUUACAUUCCCACCAACAGUGUGUGAGUGUUCACAUCCUUGCCAGUAUUUAUUAUUUUUUGUCCUUUGAUAAUUUUAACUGGAGUGAAGUGAUAUAAUUGUGGUUUUGAUUUGCAUUUCCCUAAUGAUUAGUGAUGUUGGGUAUUUUUUUUAAUACCUGUUGGCCAUUUGUAUGUAUUCUUUUAUGAAGCAUCUAUUUAGAUCAUUUGUCCAUUUGUAAAUCAGAUUAUUUG
rnacentral:lncRNA from 1 species